AUUGAACGCUAGCGGGAUGCUUAACACAUGCAAGUAGAACGAGUGGCGGACGGGUGAGUAAUAUAUCGGAAAGUGCCCAGUAGCGGGGGAUAACUACUCGAAAGAGUGGCUAAUACCGCAUACUAUUGGAGCGGCCGAUAUUGGAUUAGCUAGUUGGUGGGGUAACGGCUCCCAAAGGAAACGAUCCGUAGCUGGUCUGAGAGGACGACCAGCCACACUGGGACUGAGACACGGCCCCGACUCCUACGUGAGGCAGCAGUGGGGAAUUUUGGACAAUGGGGGGAACCCUGAUCCAGCCAUCCCGCGUGUAUGAGAAGGCCUUCGGGUUGUAAAGGACUUUUGGCAGAGAAGCGGUAUCUGCAGAAUAAGCACCGGCUAACUACGUGCCAGCAGCCGCGGUAAUUC
rnacentral:rRNA from 1 species